UGGAGCGACUGCACACUCCAAGCAGACCAACCUACCUAAUAUUUUUCUUUCCUUGGAGCCAAGUGGCCACAAGCUGCCACCGAAGGGACCAGGGAGUGCACAGCAGAACUGAGUAGCUAGAACUAGGGGGUCAAGGGUUUUUGUAGCAUUAUGCCGUUGAGGAGAAAAAUACGACCAAUUUCUGCUUCAGGGAAGUUAGAAACAUCCACACUGAGCAGCCUUCUGAAUGAUCUGAGAGAGGCGGCAGCAACAACAGACCCUUUGUUUCGUCGGGCUCAGACUUCAUUAGGAGCCCACAGGCUGCAAGCCACAUCUCCAGUUUCAGAAGGUCAGAAGGAGGUUCCCCAGCUUCCAGAAUGGCUGAUGAAAGAGAUGCUGAAAGGACAACAGAGGAGUCAUUCCAUCGGAUUCAUGGAAAACAUAUCGGAGAGUGGAAGUUUUCGUCAUCGUGUUGAUUCCUCCAGAAGUCAAUGGAAAAGAAAGGU
rnacentral:lncRNA from 11 species